rnacentral:misc_RNA from 1 species
GAUGAAGAACGUAGCGAAGUGCGAUAUGUAAUGUGAAUUGCAGAAUUCCGUGAAUCAUCGAAUCUUUGAACGCAAAUUGCACUUUCUGGUAUUCCGGAAAGUAUGCCUGUUUGAGGUUCAGUUAAAUAAAAAUCGGUGUUGUUGCUGCUUUUCGUGGUGACGCAUCGGAAUUGGGUCGUCUUACCUUCGGUUAAGUGACUUAAAAUUUUUUAUGAUUUUUGAACGUAUUUAAAUUUUUUUGUACGUUUGAGAUAUCGAAUGUUUAUUAGGUUCGGUCAUCCUCAUGACUCGCGCCUAUAAUUUUUCAUUAAAUGACCUCAAAUCAGGUAAGAAUACCCGCUGAACUUAAGCAUAUCAAUAAGCGGAGGA